rnacentral:sRNA from 1 species
ACGAGAUACAUCCCAAGCGGAUCGAGUAGUACGAAAAAGUAUGUACAAAAUAAAUUUGCUUAAUGAAAGCGGAAAGCAUUUUUACAAGCGAAAAUUAGUAGUUGGUUUUUUUUUUUUUUGCAUAUGAAAUGUGCUCUCUCAAUGGAUGGACCGUCGUGUCGUGUGACUCAUGCAGCCAAAAAAACGAGUGACUAAGGGCCCAAAGAGGCCUAAGAUACCCCGAAAGGCAGAGAAAAUCAAUGUCAGACCAUUGAUUGUUGUUGCAGCUGUUCAAAGUUCUUCGACUCCUCCUGCCCGGACUAGAGACAUUUUAAAAUUCCACUCAAGUGUUGGCAAUUUUCUCUGUACUUCCUUCGGCAGGCCUGUAGCCUGCCUCCGGCUUCUUCCGUAGCGCCAACAUUUCUUCGUUUUGUUUUCUUUUGUUUUCUUUUGUGUGGAAUAUUUUUGUCGGCACUGUCUGGAGAACUGGAGAAUAUGCAAAUGCCAUUCAAAGAAUGGCAAUUUUACAGUGCCAUUUGUCAGCUGUGCCGCUCAGCUGAUGGAAAUGGAGGCAGUCUGUGGGCUAGUGCAACGGGGGGAGGGUCUUUUCUGUACAGGGGUUCCAUUUUCAAGUAUUCUCCAUCCAAAAGCAACUUUUCUUAAUCUCAAUUGUUUCAUGCAAAGAGUUCAAUUCUUAAAGCGUCUUUUAUCAGUUUAUAUCGCUGUAAUCGUUCCAUUUUCUUGUGUAGGAAUAAUGGUUAUGGAAUUUUUGAUAAGAUAAGAUAAGAACAGGAAUUUCUAUAAUUUAGAUGCAAGAAAAUACUUGAAAUUCUAGGAAUCAAGUUAGAUAUAACUUGAACCCUUUAGAGUAAGACUUUCCCUUCGUUCCAAACUUGAAAGUAGUCUACCGUUGAAGACCCUCCCUGUAAUGGCCUAUCUCUGGGACUUGCUUACCCGUAUCGGUUAUUACAUGAGUUAGCCAGCACUCCAUAGACUCUUGGAAUGGUGAAAUCUUAGGUCUUUGUUUGUCACCAGCGUUUAGUCAAUCAGUUGUGUGAUGAUUAACCGAGUGUUAACGAACCAAAUGAGUGUCCCCCACAUGCAUUUGUUGCUCAUUCGAUAGGUAUGCAUGACUACAGUUAUUUGUUGCUUAAAGUAGAAAUAUUAAGAGUUUGUGCAUGCCAAUCGGUUCUUAAAAAUUGCAUUCCACAAAUUAGUUUUCCAGGCAAACGAACGAUGUAGUUUGGAGGCAUGCCGAUGAGCCAACUGUUUCAUGGUUCUGGUGCUGUUUCAAUUUCUGGUAGUUGCAUUUUUCUGAUGUGCAGCUCAUUUCAAGUGACUCUUGUUUGAAUUUGAGCGGACUGGAAUGACGACAUUCUUUGACGAUAGCACCAAUUAGCACUUUCGGAUGAGCGGCAUAUUCAGAAUCUGGCUCGUACUCGAAGGAAGGAAUAACGAAAAUAAUACUUUCCCCAUGAAAUUCGAUAUUAAAAUAAUUAUUCCCAAUGAUUUCUUGUCAUAAACGUAGACAGAAAUGCAAAAAGAUGGCUGGCUAUUUUUCUGUUUUAUUUUUUUGGUGAGGCAUCAUCAGAUUGAUAUAAAACUGGUGCUACCCCGUGAUGAUGAUUGCUGUGCUAUAAAUCUGUCGUUUCAUUUGCCGAAAGGGGUUAUAUAUCAUCCUCUUAUUGGUCGAUAAUAUACCAUUCGUACUCCUCUUUUGUUUCCCAUCAAAGUCGUCGCCACAUCGACUAGACACACGACUGGGGAGAGCUGCCACUGGAUCUGGACUUGGAGUUGGACUUGGACUUGGACUUGGAGUUGAAGUUGGGCGUGUCACAUGUCGCAGACCCAGACCCAGACCCAGACUCAUUUUUAUGGCUCAUUGAUGGCUCUAUUAGGUUUAUACGAGCGAACGGAUUCAUAAACAAAAAUAAUCGUAAAUUAGCCAGGCAUUCCUCCUCCUCCUUCAGCUGCUGCCUGCUUCUGGUGCUGCGGAACAAAAGCGGCUGCUUAUAAAUUUAACACGUUCCAAGAUUGGAGGGGACAAAGGUUGAGGGCAGCGAGCGGAGCUUUGUGGCAGACCCAAAAAUAUUUCCCCAAAUCAUGCACUUGACACAGACGGAAACCCG